AGAGCAGGCAGGCUUGUCGCUGGUGUCUUUGGGACACGGGAGGAAAGUCCGGGCCACGUAGAGCACCAUGCUUCCUAACGGGAAGUUGCCGUGAGGCAAAUGAAACAUAACAGAAAAUAACCGCCACCCUAGGGUGGUAAGGGUGAAAAGGUGAGGUAAGAGCUUACCGGGCUGGUAGUGAUACACAGCCGCAGUAUGUAUCGUGGGUGGUAAGAUCGUGUAUACCGACGUAUUUGGUAGGGCUGCUCGCCCGAUGUCGAGGGGUAGAUCGCUAAAGGUGGGUGGUGACACUCAUCGUAGAUAAAUGACAGGCACGCGCUUCUUCGCGCAAGAGGUGCGGACAGAACCCGGCUUAUAGCAGGCUCUUGCU
rnacentral:RNase_P_RNA from 1 species